rnacentral:rRNA from 1 species
GCGGUGGAUGAUGUGGUUAAUUCGAUGCAACGCGAAAACCUUACCACCUUGACAUGUACGGAAUCCUUAGAGAUAGAGGAGUGCUCGAAAGAGAGCCGUAACACAGGUGCUGCAUGGCUGUCGUCAGCUCGUGUCGUGAGAUGUUGGGUUAAGUCCCGCAACGAGCGCAACCCUUGUCAUUAGUUGCUACAUUCAGUUGGGCACUCUAAUGAGACUGCCGGUGACAAACCGGAGGAAGGUGGGGAUGACGUCAAGUCCUCAUGGCCCUUAUAGGUGGGGCUACACACGUCAUACAAUGGAUGGUACAAAGGGUCGCCAACCCGCGAGGGGGAGCCAAUCCCAUAAAGCCAUUCGUAGUCCGGAUCGCAGUCUGCAACUCGACUGCGUGAAGUCGGAAUCGCUAGUAAUCGUGGAUCAGAAUGUCACGGUGAAUACGUUCCCGGGUCUU